rnacentral:lncRNA from 1 species
GUAUAUUUAUAUUUACUGGCUAUUGAAACAUCGUUACUAGUUUAAACCAUUUCAUUUCUUUAAGCCAGGAUCAUUUGGUGCUAGUAAGAAUAAUAGUGAAUAACAGUGACCAAUUCUAUCAACACAGAAUCGGACUGAGUGUGGUGAGGCACACUUGUAAUCCCAACACUCAGGAAAUGUGGUUAAUUUUUAACUAUUGCUAGUUUACUUGUAAAAAAAAUAGAUAAGUAAAACUGUAUUUGUUAAAAAUGGGAAAACAAUGGCUGAUUAAUUUUACAUGGAAGACUAAAAGUUAUACUUUGAAAGCAUAUCAUACUGUAAGAUGACUGCAAAUCACCUACCCUGUGAUAAGUAGUAAGAAUUUGUAUUUGUUUCUGUUGUGGAAUGCUGGUUAAUGAAGUGUUCUUAGAAAAGAGAUAGCAAGGGGUUCUUGUUCUGUUUUGGUUUUUUUGUUAUUUUGGUUUUGGUUUUAGUUUUGAUUUUGAGACAAAGUUUUCAUGUAGGCAUGGUUGUCCUGGAACUAGCUCUGUAGACCAGGCUGGCCUCAAACUCAGAGGUCCAACAGCCUCUGCCUCCCAAGUGCUAAGAUUAAAGAUGAUUGCCAUCAUUGCCCAGCAAGAAAGCAAGUUUUAAUUAAUCUCUUUAUGUCCCAUAAUUUACCUAAUACUCCAUACAUUGCCCUGGCUACAGAAAGCAGGCCCAUGUUUUCCUAUAGGUGUCAAGGAAAUGCAAAUAUGUGCAAAGCCAAGGUCUAGUAGAUGAAGUGUUAAAGGGUUGUUUCUUCUUAAGGUGGUAAUUUUGUUGUCUUUGUUGGCUAGUUGGUUGGUUUGAUUUGUUUUGAGUUUUUAGACAGUGUAUCUCUCUAAGUCAGGCUGGCCUUAGACCUGCAGCUGUCUUCCUGUGUCUGCCUCAUCAUGGCUAAGAUUGUAGGCAUAUAUUGCCAUUCCCAGCUUAAAGAGGUUUUUAUUGUCAACACCAGUCGUUAUAUCACUAAUCAAAGUCCUAAUUGCUUAUUGAAUUUUCUGAGCCUGAAAUACAGAGAUGAUGAUGAUGAUGAUAAACUAGAUAAGCUGAUACAAAGAAUACAUCCUUGAUUUUUCUGGAUGCUUGAUUUGGGAACUGACUUUUAACUAAUUUAACCAUAAUUUGAAUCUAGUCUAGUAAAGAUUCAAAUACGAAUUCCUUUCCAUGUCAUAACUAUUUCUGUGUGUAUGCUUGUUUUGAGAGAGGGUCUCAUGUAUCCCAAGCUAGCCUAGAACUCACUCUUAACUGAGGAUGACCUUGAACAUGUGAUGUUCCUGCCUGCCAAGGACCAGUCUCAGCUUCCAAUACAACUUGGUUUGGGAACUACAAAAGAACAACUUGAAGUCAAUUGUGGGUACAACCUGACAGCUCUGUGUUCUACUUGAACUGGUGACAGCUCACCUCUUGCAUACCAAAGCCCAGUCUUUUUCAUUUACAUAUCAAUUCAAUCAUUUACCCAGGGUCCUGUUUUAUUAUCCCACGAAUCAGCACUUUACGACCAUAGCCCCUUGAUUCAUAGAAAAAAACAAAUACAUUUUUUUAACAUAGCAAGUGUAUUUAGGGGUCUGCCUGCCUUUGUAAGCACAGACAAUAAGCUAGCUGAGUAGGAUCCAGCUCUGAGAUUACAAUUCCUACAACCCCUGGACCUAGAUUUACCCUGUCCAAGGCUGAUCUUGAACUCAGGAUCUACCUGCCUUUGUAAACACAGACAAUAAGCUACCUGGGUGGGAUCUAGCUCUGAGAUAACUAUUCUCACCUCAUCUGGACCCAAAUUCCAUCUUUCCCAGGCUGACCUUGAACUCAGAAAUCUGCCUUUGUAUUUUUCUGAUAAUCUGGCUCAUUAGUGCAACUGCCUUUGUUCUCUCUGGUCCAUGAAGCCGCCUCAUACAGUUCAUAAUGAAUCCUUAUAUUUUGCAUAGUGAGAAAUUAUACAUUCUUGAACUCAUGUUUUCAGAGUUCUUUCCCACAGCCUUAUGGGCUAUCCUGAAGUUUACAGCAUUUACCAUUUUGUUGAGGAACACAUUCUCACCUCCCAGACUCAUGCUGUUUCUAAUUAUCAUGGAGUCAUUAACUUUAACAAGGAGAGUGCUCCCCAAAGGAGGAACAUGAAAAUAUGUACAUUAUUAUACAAACAAGCCCUACACCCACACCCACAGCAACUGUCAGCACAACUGGGGGCCCACCCCUUGCUAUCUCUGCUCCAGGGGCAGAAAACCAUACCAUGCUGUCCCUUCCAUGGCCAUGCAGGACUCAGUACCUGCCUCUACCACUGGAGUGCUAUGCUUGCAGGCAUGCACCACCCUGCUUGGUUGAUCCUGAACCUCCUUGUGCUCAUUCUCAGAGGACAUCAAAGAAUAUUAUGUUCUUUAGUUAUGUUAGGAAUCUUAAGUGCUAAGAAUUUAAGUUAGAGAGGAAUCUAUUUGGCAUCUUGUCUGUGCUACUGCAUAUUAUCAUGCAUUAUCAUUUUGUAAUUUUUGCUCUGUUCAACUCUUCUAAAGACUGGAUAUAAAGCCAGAUAAGUCUGU